GCAACUGGAGUGUACCUAAUACUAUCUAAUUAACAUUGUUAUUUGGUGGUGAUAAGGCAUUUCUACUAAAGCCUAAUUUGUUAAGAACUUUACAUUCUAAUGAAAGAAUCUACAAUUACCAUCUUUCGUGGGCGAGACCUGUAAUGGAAAAUUGAUUUGGCUUGUUGACAGCAAGAAUGAGGAUUUUUCUUCCCCUAUCAACAGAAAGCCAGCUCGAGUUGUUGAGUACACCAAGGCCACAAUUCCUUACAUAAAGGAAGAACUCAAAAGUUAUUGUCCAGGGGAAUCAAUGGAAGGUAAAGACCAACGGAGGGGAGGACUCCUCAAAUGGUAUUGUUCCAAUCCAGUGAACACAAAUGUUAAAUCACGUUUUUAAUCAACAACUAAUGCCAACUGCUAAGGAAAAGAAAAUUCAUUCUUCGGAUUACCAAUUCCACUAACGGCCCUGCUAAAAAACUCACAGGAUUUACAUUACUAUUCCAAUCUGUCUUAUACUUUAUAAGGAGUAAAGAAUCACGGAUGUGGGAUUAUUAAUCUAUUUCGAAAGAACUUGUGGCACGUUAAUGAAUCAUUGUGGUGGUCUUAGUUGAGGCUUGAAGAAAUGGAAGAAACUCCAUCGAUAGAAAGAAAGGACUAUUUAUUGAUUUGUCAUAGCUCUAGUCCGAAGAUUUAUAUUUCCUUCGUUGUGGGUACCCUCUUAUUUCUCUACUCUAUUUACUUAUACCAUCAACGAGAUUAAAUGGCUCAUGAAGGUGCAUCUCUUUUCUUGAAUUCCUCUGAAUAAGGUUGUUGACUUUCCAGGGCUCAGAAUAUCUGAUAAUUGAACCCUUAUUCAAAUAUUUUGAAUGGAUUCGUUCAUUUCCAACUCAUAAGGUUGAAUACAGAUAUUCAGUCAUGGGUUGGACUAGCAAACCAAGUGACUCUUUAUAGAAGUAUGAACGAUAUAAUGUAACAAUUCAAUCCAUUACUUUGUCCUGAAAGAAUAUUUUCAUGGAGUAGUACUCUCAAUUAUGUUUUUUUGUUUGCAAAGGAGCUCAUCAUAAUUAAAAUGGAACAUAAAGUUCAGAUUUUUGACCCGAAAAAAGCUACAUGUAUACGAACAAACUGGUCCAAUGGAGGACUGGGAUACUAUACCAAUCGAGAACAUCGUAAUUAUCAUUUUCGAAUACCCUAAUGUUGCUGUGAUGUAUGGAAAAUUAUAUUUUUGGGAUUCAUAAUUAUAUCUUAUGCUGAAAAACGAUAUGCAUCGGUAGAUGGAAAAAUGUUGGGAGCAGUAUGAAGAUGGGGAAAAUUGGUGUUUAUAACAUACGAUAAGCCGCUAGCCAAUCUAUUAGGAGAUCGAACUCUGGAUGAAAUUUUAAAUAUGCAUUUGAAUAGACUUAAAAAGCGAACGUUAAUAUGGAAGUUCGAUAUUUUACAUAUGCUUCAUUCUUAUAUUUUAAUUAAUUUUACGAGGAACACAUCACAUGGCACAAGUGACUGAUUAUUUCAACUAUUACUUAGUCCUAAAAUAAUAUUUUCAUUGAGUAAUACUCUCAAUGAUGUUUUUGUUUACAAAGGAGCUGAUAGUCAAUAAAAAAGAACAUGAAGUUUCGAUUUUUGACCCAAAAAAAGCUACAUGUCUAUCAACAGACUGGUCCAAUGGAGGAGUGUAUUACUAUCUAAGUCAAAAAAAUAGUGAGUGUCAUUCUCAAAUAUAAGAAUAUGGCUCUGAUAGAUGGAAAAUUACAACUUUGUGAUCCAAAUUUCUUUCUCACACUGAAAAACAAUAUACUCUGGUAGAGGGAGAAAUGUUGGGAGCAGCAUGAGCUUUAGAACACACAAAGUAUUUUACUCAAAAAUUAUAAUUGAAAUAUGAAUAUGUCUUCAGAUGGAAAUGCAGUCGGAUAUAACUAUCUGCCAGCUCUGAAGGAGAACUUGGCAUCUAAAGCCAAUAAAAGCAUGCUUAUUAUAGACCUGAAGUCUCUAAUAGGUGACCAGUUUCCCAACAGACCUACUAACUAUGACAUAGAGAACAUCCUUUUUGGAAUUCAUAAAUUAGAACAAAAAAAAUGUACAAGAAAUUCGUAUUUGCCCGGGGUAUAAAAAUAUUGUUAAAUUAAAACUGAAAGAGGCAUUAAGUAUUGGAGCGAUUUUGGCACAUGUUGAAGAUGAAUAUGUUAUGAGAAGAGAGGAAGGGAAUUUUAAGGGACUUAAAGGAGCUGUUACAGGCCGCAGGGCUCAAUGUAAGGACGAAGAUGGCAAUCCAAUUAUAUAUAAUAAAAUUAUUUUCAUACAUUCUCCGCAUAAGGAUGUAACAUACAUCUACAUAACAAUUAGUUCUUAUUUAUUUCAAUUAACUUAAGCAACGGAUAUCCUAUGACGAAAUACUACUUUUAAUUAUUUGCAACUCUCCACGAUAAAUCAGAUUAUACACCCUAAAAAUAGCAUUUCUUCGGAACAUUUUCCUCAACAACAGGACAAUAUUACAAACUCAUUUGCCCACAGCCAAAAUCACUUUUCCACACAGUUGAAGUAUGUUGAAGCAACUUGCUCAUGAUUCUUAGUACGUUUUCUUCUUCUUUGAUUUUUCUUCCCUUCAUUUAAGUUACAAAAUUAUGAAAAAAAAUGAGAGGUUACGUUAAGAGUUCCAGGAAACUUUUCAGAAUAGUUAUUGUAAAGUAUGCCAGAGAAAU
rnacentral:lncRNA from 1 species